UAGGGAAUCUUCCGCAAUGGGCGAAAGCCUGACGGAGCAAUGCCGCGUGAGUGAAGAAGGCCUUCGGGUCGUAAAACUCUGUUAUAAGAGAAGAACAAAUUGUAGAGUAACUGCUACAGUCUUGACGGUAUCUUAUCAGAAAGCCACGGCUAACUACGUGCCAGCAGCCGCGGUAAUACGUAGGUGGCAAGCGUUGUCCGGAUUUAUUGGGCGUAAAGGGAGCGCAGGUGGUUUCUUAAGUCUGAUGUGAAAGCCCACGGCUUAACCGUGGAGGGUCAUUGGAAACUGGGAAACUUGAGUACAGAAGAGGAAUGUGGAACUCCAUGUGUAGCGGUGGAAUGCGUAGAUAUAUGGAAGAACCCAGUGGCGAAGGCGCAUUCUGGUCUGUUACUGAC
rnacentral:rRNA from 1 species